rnacentral:rRNA from 1 species
UCGGGUUUCAACCCUCGGGAGUGCUUCCCACAAAGGCGAAAAUAUAGAUUGUAGUAGGGGACUAGUAAAAUCUCGUGUGUCGCGAGAUGUGUUGAUAUAGAUAGGGCAGCACUGUCGCAGGGGUGUACUGGGUGUGACCCUCACUUUGAGGCGAUAAAGUGUGGAGACAACACAGGUUGAUACCCUGGCAAGUGCGGUCCGUACGAGAUGUAACCCAGCCGUCGGGACCCCAGAGAUUUCAGUGGCGCAGUUCACACUUUAAGUUGACCGCUUGGGGAGUACGUCCCCAGGUUUAAACCUCAAAUGAAUCAUCGGAGUCACGCACAAGCGGUGGAGCAUGUGGUUUAAUUUGAAGCAACGUGAAGAACCUUACCAGGCCUUGACAUCCAAUGAACUUUCCAGAGAUGGAUUGGUGCCUUCGGGAACAUUGAGACAGGUGCUGCAUGGCUGUCGUCAGCUCGUGUCGUGAGAUGUUGGGUUAAGUCCCGUAACGAGCGCAACCCUUGUCCUUAGUUACCAGCACGUAAUGGUGGGCACUCUAAGGAGACUGCCGGUGACAAACCGGAGGAAGGUGGGGAUGACGUCAAGUCAUCAUGGCCCUUACGGCCUGGGCUACACACGUGCUACAAUGGUCGGUACAAAGGGUUGCCAAGCCGCGAGGUGGAGCUAAUCCCAUAAAACCGAUCGUAGUCCGGAUCGCAGUCUGCAACUCGACUGCGUGAAGUCGGAAUCGCUAGUAAUCGUGAAUCAGAAUGUCACGGUGAAUACGUUCCCGGGCCUUGUACACACCGCCCAGUCGACACCAUGGGAGUGGGUUGCACCAGAAGUAGCUAGUCUAACCCCUCCGGGGGGAAAGGA